rnacentral:rRNA from 1 species
AUUGAACGCUGGCGGCAGGCUUAACACAUGCAAGUCGAGCGGAGACUUCGGUCUUAGCGGCGAACGGGUGAGUAAUACCUAGGAAUCUGCCUAUUAGUGGGGAUAACGAAUCGAAAGGUUCGCUAAUACCGCAUACGUCCUACGGGAGAAAGGGGGGAGUCUUCGGACCUCUCGCUAAUAGAUGAGCCUAGGCCGGAUUAGCUAGUUGGUAGGGUAAAGGCCUACCAAGGCGACGAUCUGUAGCUGGUCUGAGAGGAUGGCCAGCCACACUGGAACUGAGACACGGUCCAGACUCCUACGGGAGGCAGCAGUGGGGAAUAUUGGACAAUGGGGGCAACCCUGAUCCAGCCAUGCCGCGUGUGUGAAGAAGGCCUCGG